CCCUGGUCUAAAAUGGCCCCUAUAUAUACUUCUAUAGUUAAAACCCCCACCCCCAAUUUUCUCUAGCCAAUCCUCCAAACUACACAUCUUCUAUGCCUGUCUCCUAGCAAUGUCAAGGCCCAUUCCCCCUAGCUGUGCUGCUCCAUGGGCUACAAACUUUAAAGGAACCAAGUUGUUGCCAGAACUUAGAAGAAAACAGAAAUAGGAGGGAUUGUGGAAUAAAAAAAAUAUAUAAAAAAUAAAAUGCCCAAACAGAAUGAUGAGCAGUGUAUACUAGUCCUAAAUACAUCUGGUCCUUAUCUACUUAGUAAAUUUAAACUUCUUGAAAUAUUCUCCUGAGUGACUAUUAAAUGUGGUUAAAUACAACACUGCAUUUUUACCAUUGCACUGGAAACACAG